UAGGUCAUUUGAUAGCGACAAGGCAUAUUAAUGAACAUUGGUGUGAAAUACCUCAUGUAAAUAUGCCAGAGUUUGCAAGAAUGCUAAUUCACGUCCGCCGUCCCUGUAGGCAGGUAAAAGGAAAAAGACGGACACAGUACAAGUGACAAAUAGAGACAGCAAGAUAAAAAUAAACACAAAUACAAAGAGGACAAAGCAUAUUACACUCGAGCCCAAGUAGAAGUGCUCGCAGGUGUGGUUGGCCAUGAGCCAUUGUUUGAGACGAGCCUUAAAAGUGAGAUUUGUAGGCCGCUCUACUGACGGCACACUUUGUCCCAAUGCGGUGCGUCUAAAUGGCACCACACUGUACGGUCCCCUUCACACGUGGUACAAGAAAUACAUAACACAUAUGGGGUUUUCAAUUGAAUGUACCAGAAACCAUUUUUUUUCAUGUUUUGGUAUUUUGUGCUUGAGCUGCGACAGGUUCAAAGGGAGAAGGAAGUUCCCCGUUCGGUCAGAAUCAUUACAGAAGAAACUCUGUUGUGACACUUUCUGUUUGGUAAUGAUCGACUUCCUUCCUUCCCCGACCGAUAGAGCCUGUUCCAAUGAACCGCCUAGAAAAAGUGUUUUUUUAAUUGUCAAAUCUGAGCGGGGGAUUAUUGUGGUAAUGAUAUCAUUCCAAUUAAGUCAGUCAAGUUUAUGCGCAGUGCGCAGUGCUUCAACUUGGUUUCAUAGUCGUGCAUUUCUGUGGCGAGUGCACACUGCGUUUUCCUGACCUGCCUCCCUCCUUUGUCAAGCGCCUCUACCAAAACAUUAACUCAUCACUCAUCUGCAUAUUAAUAUUUAAGCCAUGCAUUUUCCUUUCAAAAUAUGCCAAGAAACACUCGAUAUGGAUUUAAAGGGCUUCUCUGUCCGGGGACUGAAAUGCAAGCAAAUGCAACUUGACUUGUUUUUAAAGAAAAAAACUAUUAUGCGAGCUGUGAUAUUGUCACGUGAGGCAACUUCAACAAAACGAUAAAGUUUGAGCACAGUUUCAAAGUCUUCCUGGAAGGGGAAGGUCUCUAUAUUCUGCUUUUUUUCUCUCUCUCUCUCUCUCCUUAGUGUGCAACUUCAGUUUCACAUCAUUGGUCUGAUUUCUUUCGAAUACUUGCCAGGAAGUUCAAGAAUGUGGUUAGAAUAUAAGAGCAACUUGCAAGAUAAGUUUACUAUCCAAAGAAAAUCCGAUUUUACAUUGUUUUGCACGGUCACCGACCGAAAACUAAACAGUACAAGCGUCAUGGCCGUUUGUGGACGUUGUGAUGAAAACCAGAUCAGCAGCCCUCAGACGAUAAUUCAGUUACUGGGCUCCUGGCUAAUGGCUGCUCCCAAAACAAAUGAUGUUAAAUUUACGUGCGUAUGGCUUUCGUGGCUCAGCCACCAAAUUAGUUGGGGAAAACCGCAACAUCUGCUCUUUUCCACAACACCGCAAGAAAGACUCUGAGUAGUUUGCAUGUAUUACACAAAUACAUUCAUUUCACCUUAUAAGGGGCCUCCCCUGGCGCGGGGCCUUUCAAUGGUAUAUAUAUAGAAUUAGGCAAACCCGUCAAGUUAAUAUUUUAUUAUGUGGAGCAAGACUAAACAUGGUUGACACACAAGGUAAACGGUUUCACAUGGAAACCAGGAAAUGCACACAGCUGCCAACGGUUACUGGCAUCGUGCCACGGGCAAACCUCAACACACUGUUCCAAAAAUGUGAUUGAUUUGGCAACAAUAAAGCACCUUUUUCUUUUAUUCCCUUUGUCUUAAAAACGAUAUGGUGGAAGAGGGAUUCUGAUCAUUUCCAUUUGAUCAUUAAGAGCAGCAGGAGGACAACAACGGCUAAAUAAUGAAGUUCUGCACUCAAACUUCAGCUUGCGUUUGUGUGGUACCUGGUCGGGUUCAGCUAAUAUACAUAAUGCUCGGUAGCUUCUAAUAUUUUACAACCUGAUCAUGUAUUUUAUGUAUAUAUGUAAGUAAAAUCUUCAUCUGCGAGCAUCCUGAAGCCAUCAUGAGUAAACGUACCUCACUUUUCCAACAGCUUUAUUUGGCUGUAAUGUGUGAAUAACCUGCAGUAUUUCUGCGUUGAGGAUCAUGUGGCGAUUAAAAAACAAACAAAGUUACUUGUCUGAUAGGCGGCUCAUGUAUUUCUCAGCCAGGCAACUCUUUGCACCAGCUUGUGGCUCCUGUGCGAUUGCCGCUUGUUGCUCACCGCUCUCUCGCACGGAAAGAUAUAAGCACACUCUUUCUGCGUGACAGUUUUCUGGCCGCAAUAACGUGUUUCUUCACUUCUUUUCUUUUUUUUCUACCCCGAGCUUCCUGUCCCAAGUAUCAGUGAGACGCGCAGACAAACAUCAACUGGAUUGUCUUUCCUCCAGAAAUAACUUCAAAAACAGGUCGGCGUAGCUAUUCAAGCAUGCGGUGUGGGCUGUCUUGUUUUUGCUUAACCCUCAGGACAAAAACAGGUCAGCGGUCUCACCAUCAGCUUUUGACGAGAUGACGUCCCGGCGCACUUCCUCCGGCCCUCAGGGGUCCAUGUGCGGACGGCACUUCGGUUGGGUUGUGCUGGCCAGGCGAUGUGGUCUGUCCGCCUGUUGGAUGACGCCAGCACAGUGUUCGCGCAGAGUCCGUUUCCAAGGUGAACAUGAGGGAAUCAGGCCCGAAGGCCCCUUUCAGCCAGCCGCCGUUCAGAGUGUCCUUCUGCCAAGAUAGACGUUUCCUGGGUGGGCUGCUCAUGUUUCAUGUAGCACUGAUCCACCGCGGUAAUGGAUGUGUUAUUAUACAUACUGUAUAUCCGUCUGUCUGUCCGUCUGAUGAUGGAUUUGUCUCUUGAACCACUAACAUUGAAUCCAGCUAUCUGGUUCUAUGUAACCAGAAAGCCGGGUGCAGUUUACCUGCUCUGUCUUUUGCACCAGGCAAAAAUUCUUCUCUCUGUCGAGUCACAAACUUGUACAGGUUAAAUUCAUGAUGCAACCGAUUUGUGAAGUUUAGUCUCGUCCCGUCGACCAACCAGCAGCCGGCACCCGACCACGGCCGACACCCUGAUGUCACCUGCCGCCUUUUCUCAAGAAUGUUUGCUCUCGCAUUUGAAAGCCUUCGGUCUCGGCCUUGGGGGGUGCCACACUGCUUCCUGGCAUUGUGAGAAAUGUAACAGUCGAGGCAUUUCAGGCACAUGUUUUUGUUUAGUAGCCACAUACUUGCAUGUGAAGAGCUUGUUUUUUAUGUGCUGGAUGGAACUAUUUUGCGUGUCAAAGACAAUAGGACAGGUUGCUCUGUUUUCUCCAGCGCUCCACUCCAGCCUUGGUGGUGUUUAUUUUGCGGCGGACUGACAAAGAGAGGCGCACUGGCCAUAAAACACCCACCGUCGCUUUGAUUCCCAGCAAGAUUUUCCCCUUCAUUUGUUUGGCUAUUGUUGGUAACUCUGUGAAGUCGUGAAAAAAAUCAACCAUCUCUGGAUCAGCGUCAUGUUGCUCAACUAGAGCGCACAAUGUUUGUAUCACUGGAGCCGCCUCCAAACGGGGCAAUAUUAUUGUGUCCAAUUUACGGGCAGCUGAACAAGCUAUCUUAAUCCGCACGAUUUCAUUCAAAUGUGAACCACAAAGGGUCCAUUUGGCAGAAAAGCGCUUGUUCGAUCUGCCAAACAAGAAUUUGUUCACUGACGGGAAACCCGUAGUAGUCUACCUCCUAUUUGAGACGGUGACAACCACCCAACACAAACACUUUCACGCAAUUUUCACUAUUCACUUGCCAAACUGCCGAUCAAAAAGCCGAGGGGAACUUUCAACUUGUCUGAAAUUGAUUAUUUAUGAACUUCACAUUCCUCCCUGCUAAGCCACUUCACUUGCGACAAAAAACCUCAGUGGGUUUUUUUUCUUCCUCUUUUUUACUGACUGCCCAGUCGAGAGCUUCUUUUAAAGGAGAACUUGAAUGCUACUUUCACACAGCACAGAGAAGGGGAAAGCUUGUGGGCACCGACUGACAAGGGCAACUGAGUAACCGCUGAAUAGAGAAAAGCUCUCAGUUCUGCCUCAUUUGCAAUGUCCCUUUCAUAAAACACUGUUCUUCUUCAGCAGAGCCGCUGCCCACGCAAGGGACUCAGAAAUAAUCAGGAGACAGUUCAGUUUCCCUGCAGCUCCCGUCAGACGUGCGGAGGCGGUCACCUCGGGGUCUUAUUGACCGUGUCAGGCACUUUUGACCUCCUCUGACUUACGUGUCAUCUUAAGGCAAACAAAUCACAGAGCAACUAAAAGGACAACUUUAUCUAAAUCUCUUUAAAUGAUCUAUGUCGUGCUGUACAGUGGUACCAAAACAUUCUGAUCAUUCUCAUGCGAAAGUAGCAAUAAACAAUGUACAAGGGGUUUGGGUAAGGAGGUAAAAGGGACUGUCCUGCAGAAAAAUGCCCAAUAGUUAGAUACGGGUUAGAUGUACUGUAUUUUAUCAGCUCAUCAUAGGUUUUGUAUUAAUCAUAACUUGAUCUGUAAGUAACUUGAGAUGCAAAAAUAAAUAUGAGAUGCAAAAAUAAAUAUGAUGAAGAAGAAAAAGUGCAAUAUUUUCCACUUCGAUGCAGUGGGAUAAAGGUAUGAAGCUGCAGAACUACAGCAGUGAGGAAACAGUGACUCACCACUGAUCUCCACCCUGUAAUGACUGCAAAUGUAUCUUCAAACAUUUAUAUAGUUUUUUUUUAAAUCUUUGCUCCUCUUGUCUGCACUUUUGCUACUUUUAAUGGUGAAUUUCAAAUCGCAAAUCAUUCACGAUUAAUUUUUACAUUGAAUACAUAUAUUCUCUUUACUCUUUUAA